AGUAAGAGAAGUGUGUGUAGUUGUAAAAUCGUGUAAUGUAUGGUUAACACUAAAUUGUUUUGUGACUCGAUAUAAGAAAAAACGUUACCAAUGAGAUUAAGAAAUCAAAUAAUUGAAAAGAAAAGAUUGAUUUUUUUUUCCAACAAAAGAUUGAUUAAACAUCAAAAAGUUGGUUCUCACUCUCUCUCUCUCUCUCUUUUAGAUAAGCUACUAGUACUGUUUAGCAAACGACUUCGAUUUAUAGUUUGUGGUAACUGGUUUGGCUUUACAAAGGAGAUCAUGAAACAAUUAGAACCACUUCUACAAACCUCUAAAAAGUAUCAGAAAAGAGUGAGAUCCUUGUUUUGAAUCUGUCAAAUAUAAAAAUGAUUGCUGUGAAUGUAAGAGAGACAAUGAGCCAAAAUAUUUAUAACUUCUUAAAUAAAUAAAAAUGUUGGCCUUGUUUUGAAAUGAAGAGUUUUGAUAUAUUACCACAGACUUAAGAAAUGCGAUUAAUUAAUUGAUUAUCAAUGUCUACAUGCAUUAUGUUCUAUAUAAGAUCUAAUUAACAAUAAGAAAAUGUUCAAAAAAAAAAGAUCUAAUUAACAAAAUCCAGGUAAAGUGAACAAUGUUUUUCACAAAGGGACUAACGUUGAAAAAAAUCUAGGUAAGGCAACAACUCAUAGAUUAUCUACUCAUCUACAUCCGAAAGUCCUUGAACAGUUUAUACAGAGGGUCUUAGGACAUCUGCCAUAAGAAAUACUUUUCAAUAUGGAUCUCUUAACAAAUAUAUUAGUAUUUAAAUAUAGAAUUUUUCAAAAGUCUGAGAAAUUCAUGUGAUAAAUGAGAGACUAUCACAUGUGAUCUCAAGCUUUUAAGAGACUCUUUAAAUACUGAAUAUUAAUAUUUGUUGAGAGACUCAGGUUAAGAUAUAUACUUCCCGUUACUAUGGCCUUAGCGUUAAAAAAUAAUUAACAACACAACUAAUAUGGAAAAGAAAACUAGCAAAGGUAGAGAUAAAAAAUUUGGUAUAAGAUGAUUGAAGCAAGCAGCGAAGUAAAAGAAAAAAGAUACGUUGUGUGAUUAUUAGUUUCUAAUGAUAUAUCAUAUUAUAUUUAAUUAAAAUUCCUAAAUUAAGAGUAACAAUACAAUUAACAUACUUUAAUUGUUUGUUUCCACUAGCUAUUUUAGAAACUUGACGUGAAGGUAUGGUAACUGAAAAAAAACUACUAAAAUAUGUCAUCUUAUUAUGUAGUUAAUUGAAUUUGGAUGAAAACUUAAGUAGUUGGCAGAAGGACUUGGACAGGGGGGUGGAAAAGGUAUACGAGGAGACAGAUGCAGAGGGUAAGAGAGCCCUAAAGGCUUUUCCAAAUGAAGAAAGCUAAUAAGAAUAGACUACAUAUAUUCAUAGUAACAAUAUUUAUAACUUUCACUUUCUCUGUUUUUUUCUGUAAAUUGUCAGCGAAAUUUAAGGAUUACAGCCUACACAAGCCUAUGAAGUACUACAAUCUUACCGUCAAUAAUUUUCGCAACCAAUCGUUCUAUAUUUUUUAUGUUUUGCAUGGGUUGAAAGCAUUUAAUGUGUCAUGACCCACUUUUCUACGUAUUUUGGAGACGAGGUUAUAGAUCAAUCUCAUAUAUUCACAAGGGCAAACGCCAUUUUCAUUAAAGUAUUUGAUUAUGGUUAUAUAAGACAUCCUCAGCUUUGCUAUCAUCACUAUAUAGGCUCUUAUCACGUUAUAUAUUGGAAAUUUUAAACAGAAAGACUAAGAUGCAUAAGAGCAUCAGCAAUGGUUUAUAUUUAGUGAAAGUAUAUCAAACACAUUAUUUAAUUGUAGUAUUAAUUUUAAAAAAUAUAAAAGUGCUAUAUGAUGAGAAGGUGACAUAUGAAAGAAGGAGUUUGCCCAAAAAAAAAAGGUCUCAUCUAUUUUUUUAAAAUCUCUCUCCAAAUAGCCGAUUCUGAAAUAUUUUUACUCUCCACAUUUUUAAUUGUUUUGAUUAUCUAUAUAUAUAAAAAAAUGUUUGUGUCCCUCCUAUUACGCCACCUCAGCAUCCAGGUCACAAAGUCAGAUCCUUUGUAUGUGACACGUGUAUCUUUUUUUAAAUGAGUUUAUUGUUGUGUUGUUUCGAUUUUAUAUAGGCUUUCUUCUUUACAAUUUUUGGGCUUUCUCUACCUUAUUUAUUUUUGUGAAAGAUGAUGAUAGCCCAGCCCGAUUAAAAGACCAAUCGUCUUCUUCGAUCUACGAGAGAGAUCUUUUGGUCGAGCUUCUUUCGCGUCGUUUUGUCUGAGAUUCUUCUCCGUCACGGAUCCCUUCUGCGCUCAAUCAUUGUCAUUAAGAGUAUAGUGGCGAACUUCUCUCUCCUUGCUGACUUCAAAGACGAUGACUGCAGCACCACCGCCGAACUGCGGCUUCUGGAGUUUUAGAGGGCAGGAAUGUGAUCAAUCCUCUGUUCCGACGAUCCACUUCACCAAUCCUCCGUUCUCUUUUCGACCACAAAAGAAGAAGUUCCUCGAAAGCUCCUCGACCCAAGCAAGAUUAGCUUAUAUCCUUUCCUACACCUGAAAACGAGUAUAUGAUUCUUUGUAUAAAAGGAUAUAUGUGUGCGUGAAGGAAGUGCUUUGUUUUGUUCAUUGUGAGCGAAAUGUAUCCUAUAACAUUGCUUUUAUACAUUGACUUUUCUCAGA